UUGCCAGGGUUCAAAUUCAAGCUUUUGUACCAAAUAAUACGUAGGAAACAUUCAGUGACUUGCAUUUGUGAUUUCCUUAUUUCCCCUUAACUCAUAGACUGUCUCAUGACUGCGUCUCCCUCCAUUGUUUUAGGCAUCCGUGUCAUUCUGGACCUUACUCCCAACUACCGGGGUGAGAACUCGUGGUUCUCCACUCAGGUUGACACUGUGGCCACCAAGGUGAAGGAUGCUCUGGAGUUUUGGCUGCAAGCUGGCGUGGAUGGGUUCCAGGUUCGGGACAUAGAGAAUCUGAAGGAUGCAUCCUCAUUCUUGGCUGAGUGGCAAAACAUCACCAAGGGCUUCAGUGAAGACAGGCUCUUGAUUGCAGGGACUAACUCCUCCGACCUUCAGCAGAUCCUGAGCCUACUCGAAUCCAACAAAGACUUGCUGUUGACUAGCUCAUACCUGUCUGAUUCUGGUUCUACUGGGGAGCAUACAAAAUCCCUAGUCACACAGUACUUGAAUGCCACUGGCAAUCGCUGGUGCAGCUGGAGUGUGAGUACCACGCUGGCGGGAAAGGGGGCA
rnacentral:sRNA from 1 species